rnacentral:lncRNA from 1 species
GAAGCUGUCGAUCAUUUGCAAUGAUCACAGGUGGACAAGUUGAUGUAUUGAUCAACUCAUUAGGUAGAUAACUCAACUCCAAAUCGGGUAAGCUAUCUUCUUCCAUAUCAAAAUCUUCCAAAACCAUUCUUUUAAAAUCCUCUAAGGUAGAAGUUGAUUCCAAUAACAGUAGCCUAGCCCCUCUCUCAUCAGCCGUAAAAACCCAUCCCGUGGUUGCUCCAAACUCCCAAACACCACAUGUUGUAUAGAUAUGCAUCAUAGAACAAGAGUUUGUAAAAAUCACAAGACAAACUAUAGAGAAAUCAUUGGAAAAUCAUAGAUUGGUGAAGAAGAACAUUCAAAAUCGAUUUUUUUUUUAAUUUUUCACGAACCAAAUCAAUGAAAACACGUUUUAGGAAGUUAGAAUAUUUUGAGAAUAUUUUAAAAACUGCAACUUCCUUAAUUUUCGAAAAUUCAGUUUUUUUAUCCGUAGAAGGCACCUUCUACACUGUGUAGAACAUAACAAAAUUCCAGAAUGUAAUUUCUACACUAUGUGGACGUUCGUAUAUGUUUUAGAUUUUGCAUUCCUGAUAACUUAGAAUACUCAAUAAAAGUAGAAACAGUUUUCUGAAUAAAAGUAGCGAUCAUUACAAAUAGUAGAAUACGUAUUCCCCAUAUUUAGAAUUAUAGUAAAAAGUAGUUUGUACGUUCUAAAACAAGUAGAUGGAUGUGUUCAUUCUAGAAUUCAUUUUCUACUUACCCGUUUUGUGUAGAAACAGAAUUCUACUUUUAGUAGAACGUAAUUUAAAAAUAUUAUUUAUUAUGUUUUUCAUCAGCAAUGACACUAUUUAGUUGUCUCAUAAACCAUUCCCAAGAAUUUUCAUUCUCUGAGUCGACUACUCCGAAUGCAAGAGGAUACAAAUUAGAAUUUCCGUCUACAGCAGUUGCAACCAAUAGAACUCCUUUGUAUUUGUUCUUCAGAAAAGUGCCAUCAACCACAAUAACCCUCCUUAUGACUCUGUUAAAUCCUCGUAUCGAUUGCCCAAAUACAAUAAAUAGGUACCGAAAUCUCCCUUUGCUGUCAAUCUCAUACGAUGAAUGUGUUCCCGGAUUAGCCUCUCUGAGCAUGUGCAAGUAUUUCGGUAUUUUUCCAUAACUUCUCUCUGGUAUACCUCUAACAGCAUUAACCGCAUAUUCACGAGCAUCCCAUGCUAAAGAUUUCGUGAUCUCACAGCCAUGAUCCAUAAGCAUAAUCUGUAUUAUAUCAUUGCAUUUCGGCCCUUCCUUAACCCCUUCAUACCUAUGCAUAAUCAGACUGCCUAUAGUUUUGGCCGAAGCAGUCCUACCCGGUUUGGUUUUGUUUGAAGGUGCGCAUGUAUGUUCACCGACAUACUUUUUGAUAAUGAAAUAUUCAGAAUCCUUCAAACACUCUGCUCGAACACACCAAUUGCAUGCAUUAUCCUCACAUCUAACAUACCAAAGUUGUCUAUCCGUUUUGAUAACCUCGUAGUGAAAGUUAUGCUUCAUUGCACAUAUCUCGAAAGUCGCCUUCAGCAAAGUUUUGUUCUCAAACAAUUGUCCCUUCUUAACAACAUUGAGCACAGAAAACUUUGACAUCUUAUGUAUGUCCUCUUUGGCCGAGAUCAUGGUAUCAGCAUGAUAGGCAUCCUCAUCAACUUCGACUCUUCUAAUCUUUUCUUUCUUUUUCUCGCACUGCCUCUCAACAAACACAGGAGCUGGUUCGUUCCCCCUAUCAACCGAGUUUCCCUCCUCUUGAGCAGUACUUGAAUCAGCUGGCGACUUGUUAAGAUCAAAGUCUGGUUCAUUCAGAUUCUCAACUUUGGCUUUAGAUGUUACACACAAUCGAGUAGAAACACACUUUUGAACAAAACCAACAAAAUUCUGAAGCUGUCGAUCAUUUGCAAUGAUCACAGGUGGACAAGUUGAUGUAUUGAUCAACUCAUUAGGUAGAUAACUCAACUCCAAAUCGGGUAAGCUAUCUUCUUCCAUAUCAAAAUCUUCCAAAACCAUUCUUUUAAAAACCUCUAAGGUAGAACUUGAUUCCAAUAACAGUAGCCUAGCCCCUUUCUCAUCAGCCAAAAAAACCCAUCCCGUGGUUGCUC